GCGUGCAACUUGCAGCAUAAACCUGGAGCUAAACUGUCAGGAAAAGGUUUAUGUUUCGUCCUAGACUAUUUAAGCUUGAGAAGAAGUAAUUUUCGUUUGUCAUGUACUUUUUAGUCAUCUGUAGUAGCAAAAUUAAUGAGAAAUCCCAUGUAAUUAGCUCACAUGGCUUUGAGGACCACAAAGAAAUCAUUUCUACAAGGCAAUGAAACAGUUCAAUUGCUUUGCUGUACAGAUGGCUCCAAGGUGAUGUAAAGGUUGUUGGAGCUUCUCAAGAUCGUAAGUUUCUUCAUCUGUGAUAGAUACAGACUAGCAGGAUUUAAGCAGUGGCAGCCCAGGUACCUCCUCUGUGUUGAGUUGACAGACAAGACAUUUGUACUUCAUAAGCUGUUCUGAGCUGAUCACAAGGAUGCCACCAUUGCACAGAAGCAAAGUUAUCAAAGAAAAAAAUCUGAAUAUUAUCCUUCUAGUCUUUGAAAACUUAACUUGAAACAGAGGAGCUGAUACCAGACUGAUCUGGAACUCUGGAUGAAGUCAGUGUUUCUAGUCCAACCUAAGGUGAACAGCUGGAGGCCAAGCAUUCAUUUUUGCUACACAACAGUGACUAU